AGUGAACGCUGGCGGUAGGCCUAACACAUGCAAGUCGAACGGCAGCACAGUAAGAGCUUGCUCUUACGGGUGGCGAGUGGCGGACGGGUGAGGAAUACAUCGGAAUCUACUUUUUCGUGGGGGAUAACGUAGGGAAACUUACGCUAAUACCGCAUACGACCUACGGGUGAAAGCAGGGGUUUUUCGACCUUUCGCCGUUUGAUUGACCGGAUGUCGGAUUAGCUAGUUGGCGGGGUAAAGGCCCACCAAGGCGACGAUCCGUAGCUGGUCUGAGAGGAUGAUCAGCCACACUGGAACUGAGACACGGUCCAGACUCCUACGGGAGGCAGCAGUGGGGAAUAUUGGACAAUGGGCGCAAGCCUGAUCCAGCCAUACCGCGUGGGUGAAGAAGGCCUUCGGGUUGUAAAGCCCUUUUGUUGGGAAAGAAAAGCAGCAGGUUAAUACCCCGCUGUUCUGACGGUACCCAAAGAAUAAGCACCGGCUAACUUCGUG
rnacentral:rRNA from 1 species